rnacentral:sRNA from 2 species
UGAGCAGUUAUACACAACUCGUACGGCAGUGGCGGGGGAACCAACAUCGGGUCGUUAGUUUUGGCUAACAACCCUAGGGGUGAAGUGGAUAGAGAAGGAAACUUCGAGUCCACCGAGGUAACUCCACUUCGAACCCGACAGCUUACCUCGUAGGUAUCAAGGAGAGGCAAU